GCAUGUCUCAGUACGAGCCGUAUUAAGGUGAAACCGCGAAAGGCUCAUUAAAUCAGUUAUGGUUCCUUAGAUCGUACCCACAUUUACUUGGAUAACUGUGGUAAUUCUAGAGCUAAUACAUGCAAACAGAGCUCCGACCGGAGACGGAAGGAGCGCUUUUAUUAGAUCAAAACCAAUCGGUGUCGGGUUCGCCCGUCAUCGUACACCUUGGUGACUCUGAAUAACUUUUUGCUGAUCGCACGGUCUCGCACCGGCGACGCAUCUUUCAAAUGUCUGCCUUAUCAACUGUCGAUGGUAGGUUCUGCGCCUACCAUGGUUGUAACGGGUAACGGGGAAUCAGGGUUCGAUUCCGGAGAGGGAGCCUGAGAAACGGCUACCACAUCCAAGGAAGGCAGCAGGCGCGCAAAUUACCCACUCCCGGCACGGGGAGGUAGUGACGAAAAAUAACGAUACGGGACUCAUCCGAGGCCCCGUAAUCGGAAUGAGUACACUCUAAACCCUUUAACGAGGAUCAAUUGGAGGGCAAGUCUGGUGCCAGCAGCCGCGGUAAUUCCAGCUCCAAUAGCGUAUAUUAAAGUUGUUGCGGUUAAAAAGCUCGUAGUCGAAUUUGUGUCCCGCGCCGCCGGUUCAUCGCUCGCGGUGUUUAACUGGCGUGUCCGCGGGACGUCCUGCCGGUGGACUUAGUCCUUACGGGGGCGGUCCAGCUUCAAAACCCACCGCGGUGCUCUUUACCGAGUGUCGAGGUGGGCCGGCACGUUUACUUUGAACAAAUUAGAGUGCUUAAAGCAGGCUAAAACUUUGCCUGAAUACUGUGUGCAUGGAAUAAUGGAAUAGGACCUCGGUUCUAUUUUGUUGGUUUUCGGAACUCCGAGGUAAUGAUUAAUAGGAACGGAUGGGGGCAUUCGUAUUGCGACGUUAGAGGUGAAAUUCUUGGAUCGUCGCAAGACGGACAGAAGCGAAAGCAUUUGCCCAAAAACGCUUUCAUUGAUCA
rnacentral:rRNA from 1 species